AAUAGCCCUGGGAAACUGGGAUUUAAUACUCCAUAGUAUAUAGGAUGGCGCAUGCUGUUUACUAUUAAAGUUGAGGCGCUGUAAGAUGGGCGUGCGUGCUAUUAGCUAGUUGGUGAGGUAACGGCUCACCAAGGCUACGAUAGCUAGGGGGCGUGAGAGCGUGGCCCCCCACACGGGUACUGAGACACGGACCCGACUCCUACGGGAGGCAGCAGUAAGGAAUAUUGGACAAUGGUCGAAAGACUGAUCCAGCCAUCCCGCGUGCAGGAUGACUGCCCUAUGGGUUGUAAACUGCUUUUAUAUGGGAAGAAUAGCAUAGAUUCAUCUGUGUAUGACGGUACCAUAUGAAUAAGCACCGGCUAACUCCGUG
rnacentral:rRNA from 1 species